AAUAGAAAGCGCCCGGACUAUUCCCGUGGCGGAGAAAGAUGGGGAUAGUUGACGAGGAAGAGGUUGAUCGAACCAUUCGGCGGAUGCCUCUCGGAUCGCCUGCACCGUUAGUCCGUGUACAAAACAGGAAGGCAACUUCCUGAACAGAAUCCGG
rnacentral:ncRNA from 1 species